UACGUAGGGUGCGAGCGUUGUCCGGAAUUAUUGGGCGUAAAGAGCUCGUAGGCGGCUUGUCACGUCGGGUGUGAAAGCCCGGGGCUUAACCCCGGGUCUGCAGUCGAUACGGGCAGGCUAGAGUUCGGUAGGGGAGACUGGAAUUCCUGGUGUAGCGGUGAAAUGCGUAGAUAUCUGGAGGAACACCGGUGGCGAAGGCGGCAUCCUGGACCGGCAUUGACGCUGAGGCGCGAAAGCUAGGGGAGCAAACGGG
rnacentral:rRNA from 1 species